rnacentral:snoRNA from 1 species
AAGCCAUGGUGUGGACACUUCACUAGCAUACCCUUAAACCUCUCACAGGUUUCCUACAAAGUUUCAGUUGGUUUCUGCCUGAAUUACAAUAUCUCAUCAAUUUGUCU